AUUUUGCACUCCUCCUCUUGUAGUAAUUGGUGGAAACAGAACGUGGAAGUUGGCAAGUAGAAUCCCUCAAGCACAUACUACUGCUACUCAAAGCAGCCAUAUCUUAUGUUUUCUCCUCCUCUACUGAAACACAGAAUACCAAACAAAGCUUUCAAGAGCUGAAACGUAUAGAUUAAAGAUUGCGACUUUUUCUUAGUGAACGGUGAUGGUGAUAAUGGUGGAAAUUGUAGGGGUAAUCGCGGUGGAUAUAGCUUGCAGGAAGCACUGGAAAGGGACGGCGGAGCUACAGCAGUGGGUAUUGAAGGACAUGACGUCAGAUUUCCGAUCAAUAGGCGGCGGUGACAGUGACAGUGUCGGCUGCGACGACGAG
rnacentral:misc_RNA from 1 species